CGACGGAGGAUCUGCGCAACUCGAAGAAAUUUUUUUUCAUGACCUUCGCUAUUAUCUGCUGCUUCCUGAUUGGCUGCGCUGUCCUGAUUCCUAAUUACGAUGAAUAUGAACAGUUUCUUUUCACUCCUUGCAGUUUGCUAGUGUCGAAUUCGAAAGAUUGGAGUGAUCUGGCAGUCGUAGAGUCUCUUUUUCUAAUAAAUAUGCAGCAGAACAAAGAUGGCGCUUUACAACGGAGAAUCUGUGCACUGCGCAAGCAUAACAAAGCAAAUUUUUUUAUUUGUUGUGUUGCUUGCUGACUUGCUGUGAUGUUUUAACUUCAAAAUGUGAUUCAUUGUGGAGAUCAACACCAUCGCUGUGUCAAAGUAACAAACCGGAGAAAUGACAAUUUAAUCAAUUGCAAUCAUGUCAGUGGAAGAAAUAAACAAAUGUUCACGAAUCUAAACCAUCGAAACAAAAGGUUCAGUUUAUGGAUAAUUGAAGGAGAGUUGCGAUAAAAUUUCAAUUUAUGGAAUUUAACCAAAUUCCUCACUAUCCUUCAUUACCUUCAAUCUUGCAGUGCAUCUGUCAAGUCACUGACAUUGAAAACCUUCAACAUGUCUCACCUGCGAGAAAUUUUUUUCCUUAUUGAUAUUGGAUACCUAGGACAAGAAAAAUUACAAU